rnacentral:rRNA from 1 species
UAGGGAAUCUUCGGCAAUGGACGAAAGUCUGACCGAGCAACGCCGCGUGAGUGAAGAAGGUUUUCGGAUCGUAAAACUCUGUUGUUAGAGAAGAACAAGGACGUUAGUAACUGAACGUCCCCUGACGGUAUCUAACCAGAAAGCCACGGCUAACUACGUGCCAGCAGCCGCGGUAAUACGUAGGUGGCAAGCGUUGUCCGGAUUUAUUGGGCGUAAAGCGAGCGCAGGCGGUUUCUUAAGUCUGAUGUGAAAGCCCCCGGCUCAACCGGGGAGGGUCAUUGGAAACUGGGGGACUUGAGUGCAGAAGAGGAGAGUGGAAUUCCAUGUGUAGCGGUAAAAUGCGUAGAUAUAUGGAGGAACACCAGUGGCGAAGGCGGCUCUCUGGUCUGUAACUGACGCUGGGGCUCGAAAGCGUGGGGAGCAAACAGG